rnacentral:rRNA from 1 species
UACAGAGGGUGCGAGCGUUGUCCGGAAUCACUGGGCGUAAAGGGCGCGUAGGUGGCGCCGCAAGUCCAUGGUGAAAGCUCGAUGCUCAACAUCGAGUCGGCCACGGAGACUGCGGGGCUCGAGCACUGUAGAGGCAGAUGGAAUUCCGGGUGUAGCGGUGGAAUGCGUAGAGAUCCGGAAGAACACCGGUGGCGAAGGCGGUCUGCUGGGCAGUAGCUGACACUGAGGCGCGACAGCGUGGGGAGCAAACAGG